GGAAGUAAAAGCGUAACAAGGUUUCCGUAGGUGAACCUGCGGAAGGAUCAUUAUCGUACAAAAUGUGAGGGGCAUGCGAGGGCUGUCGCUGACCCAAAAGUCGUGCACGCCCGAGUGUGCCCUCUUGCAUAAUAAUCCAUCUCACCCUUUGUGCAUCACCGCGUGGGCACCCUUCGGGAUCAUCUCGGAGGGGGGCUCGCGUUUUCACACAAACCACCCUUUUAAAAGUGUAGAAUGACCACAUUUAUGCAAUCAAUACAACUUUCAACAACGGAUCUCUUGGCUCUC
rnacentral:misc_RNA from 1 species